GAUGAACGCUAGCGGCAGGCUUAACACAUGCAAGUCGAGGGGCAGCAUGUCCAGCAAUGGAUGAUGGCGACCGGCGGAAGGGUGCGUAACGCGUGAGCAACAUGCCCUAUACAGGGAGAUACACCAGGGAAACUUGGUCUAAUAUCCCAUAGCAUUCAUUGAAGGCAUCUUUAAUGAAUUAAAGCUUCGGUGGUAUAGGAUUGGCUCGCGUGACAUUAGCCAGAUGGUGAGGUAACGGCUCACCAUAGCAAUGAUGUCUAGGGGUUUUGAGAGGAAGGCCCCCCACACUGGGACUGAGACACGGCCCAGACUCCUACGGGAGGCAGCAGUGAGGAAUAUUGGACAAUGGAUGGAAAUCUGAUCCAGCCAUGCCGCGUGCAGGAAGACGGCCUUAUGGGUUGUAAACUGCUUUUAUACGGGAGCAAUAAGGGUUACGAGUAAUCCGAUGAGAGUACUGUAUGAAUAAGGAUCGGCUAACUCCGUGCCAGCAGCCGCGGUAAUACGGAGGAUCCGAGCGUUAUCCGGAAUUAUUGGGUUUAAAGGGUGCGUAGGCGGCCAUUUAAGUCAGCGGUGAAAUUUUGCAGCUUAACUGUAACAGUGCCGUUGAUACUGUUUGGCUAGGAUUUGGUUGUAGUGUGCGGAAUGUGUGGUGUAGCGGUGAAAUGCUUAGAUAUCACACAGAACACCGAUUGCGAAGGCAGCACACUAAGUCAUUAUUGACGCUGAGGCACGAAAGUAUGGGGAUCAAA
rnacentral:rRNA from 1 species